ACUCUCCCUCUCUGCAUCAAAAAACUCUCUCUCUCUCUCUCUCUCUCUCUCUCUCUCAAGUUCUUUGAAGCAAAGCUCUAUCCAUUUUCUGAAACACUUUCACUUUCAUUUUACAACACGUUAUCAGCACGAAUAGCUCUAGGAUUUGGAUUGCAGAUUGACAAGAGAAGAGGUGAAUAAUUCUUGGGUUGCAGAGAAGAGGCAGUUCAUUAUUCAAUCAACUUCACUCUACCAGCUCUACAAUCAAGUACUUAACGAACUGGAAGUUCACACAUAAACAUUGAAUCAAAAGUUCAUACAUAAAUAUUGAACCAGAUGUUCACAUGUAUCGAACCUGUAGUUUCGACAACACUAAAAGAUUAUGAACCUUUCCAAGUAGGCUCAUCCAAUUAGAUGCGAUGUCUAGACCAGCUUGAGCCCAGCAGGCCCAUUUUCCUUCCUCAAGACCGAGCAGCCCAACAGGCCUCACACACUAUUUGACUAGUGCAUGAAAGCCUGGGUCACGAGCUCGCAGCUAAGCCCCGUAGGUAGGCUUUAUUAUCAAGCCCACUCUUUCUUUGGUCCAGUAGAACCAAAUAAAAGGAAAAAUAAUUUGAUUCUAUUGAGAUUUGAACCCAGACAACGUCCAUGUCAUUAUGGCUAUUGUAAAUAAAUUCACCAUAUUUCAUAUGUGUAAUUAAUUGCCAGAAGCAUUUAUUCACAUAAUUGUGUGAUAAUUAAUAUGUUAUUUUACUAGCAUGCAAUUAAUAUCUCAAUUGAUUUGUGAUUUCCAUUUA